GAUGAACGCUGGCGGCGUGCCUAAUACAUGCAAGUCGAGCGAGAAGCUCGCUAAUGAGACUUCGGUGGAUUUAGUGAGUGGAAAGCGGCGGACGGGUGAGUAACGCGUAGGCAACCUGCCCUUUGCACAGGGAUAGCCACUGGAAACGGUGAUUAAUACCUGAUAAUGCGAACCUAUCGCCUGACAGGAUCGCCAAAGAUUUAUUGGCAAAGGAUGGGCCUGCGACUGAGUAGCUUGUUGGUGGGGUAACGGCUCACCAAGGCGACGAUCAGUAGCCGACCUGAGAGGGUGAUCGGCCAGAGUGGAACUGGGACACGGUCCAAACUCCUACGGGAGGCAGCAGUAGGGAAUCUUGCACAAUGGGCGAAAGCCUGAUGCAGCAACGCCGCGUGAGCGAUGAAGUCCCUUGGGUCGUAAAGCUCUGUCCUAUGGGAAGAAACAAAUGACGGUACCAUUGGAGGAAGCCCCGGCUAACUACGUGCCAGCCGCCGCCGUAACAC
rnacentral:rRNA from 1 species